AUAAUAAAUUGUUUUUUAAUUGAAAACUGGAAUGAAGGAUUGAACGAAAAAUAAACUGUCUCAAAAUUAAUAAAUUUUGAAUUUAAUUUUUAAGUUAAAAAGCUUAAAUUUAAUUAUAGGACGAGAAGACCCUAUAGAAUUUAAUAAUUAUUUUAUUAAAAGUUAAAAAAUUUAAAUUUAAAUAAAAAUUAAUUAUUAUGUUGGGGUGACAAAGAAAUUAAAAUAAUUUUUUUAUUAUAUAAACAAUAAUAUUUGAAAUUUUGAUCCUAUUUUUUAGAUUAUUAGAAUAAAUUACCUUAGGGAUAACAGCGUUAUUUUUUUAUAAAGUUCAUAUUUAUAAAAAAGAUUGC
rnacentral:rRNA from 1 species